AAUAGAUACCCUGGUAGUCCACGCCGUAAACGAUGAGUGCUAAGUGUUAGAGGGUUUCCGCCCUUUAGUGCUGCAGCUAACGCAUUAAGCACUCCGCCUGGGGAGUACGGCCGCAAGGCUGAAACUCAAAGGAAUUGACGGGGGCCCGCACAAGCGGUGGAGCAUGUGGUUUAAUUCGAAGCAACGCGAAGAACCUUACCAGGUCUUGACAUCCUCUGCUAACCCUAGAGAUAGGGCGUUCCCCUUCGGGGGACAGAGUGACAGGUGGUGCAUGGUUGUCGUCAGCUCGUGUCGUGAGAUGUUGGGUUAAGUCCCGCAACGAGCGCAACCCUUGAUCUUAGUUGCCAGCAUUCAGUUGGGCACUCUAAGGUGACUGCCGGUGACAAACCGGAGGAAGGUGGGGAUGACGUCAAAUCAUCAUGCCCCUUAUGACCUGGGCUACACACGUGCUACAAUGGAUGGUACAAAGAGCUGCGAACCCGCGAGGGUAAGCCAAUCUCAUAAAGCCAUUCUCAGUUCGGAUUGU
rnacentral:rRNA from 1 species